AAUUCCCACACCUUAACAUGUGGUAUUAACUCCAACAGAAAACAUGCAACCAGCCAAAAGCCAACAUAGUUUAAGAAAUUUAAUAUUUUAUAUGCAUCACAUUUUAGAAAACUGUUUUUUUUUAUUUUUGUGGAGGAAUGGGGUAACCACCACUGGACAUUUUACUUUGCCUCAGGGAUACAGUUCUGAAACUUGGAGUUUAUACCAUAACUUGGCUAAUCUGCUCAGAUUCAGCAUCUGUAACUCCUUUAAGUGGCAUUUAGUAUUAUGACAGGAAAUCUUUACUGUUUUUCUAUUAUGAAGAAACAUUAGUAGACUGUAUUGUAAUAUGUGUUCAAAUUGGGUUACCGUCUCUGAUGAACUGCAGAAGAAAUGGAAACAGAUAGUGAGUGGAACAGGGAUGCUGGUGCAAUCAAUCCCCAAUCUCACAGCACGCACCUUGGGGCCCACAGACUGAGGGUCACAUCUUCCUAGAGUUUCCUGAGAUGGAGAAAAUGAUUUCUUUCUCUCAGUUGGUGCAAUGCUUACAUGGGACAAUGUGUGCAAUUAACCUGGCACACAGUAGUUAUUCAGCAAAAAUAAUUUCCAUUGUUAUCUCCUGUUUUAUGUUUUUUUUUCUUUUUCGAGAAGAGUGUUCUGACCCUAGUUGGUUAUUUAAAAAUUCACAUUGACAAUUAAAAAUAAGAUCUCUUGUUUCCUCUUCUAUAUUCCCUCAAAUAUAUAUAAGCUGGGCACACAUUUAUGAUUGGGCAGAAUCCAGAUAUUUUAGUUAAAGAUAUGUGGGGGUAUCCUUCUUCUCCCUUUAUCUACUAUUCCUCCCUGAUAUUAGAAUUAAGAAAAAAUGCAAAGUUUAGGAGAUAAAUCUUUCCUGUUUCUGCAAGUCAAAUACAUGAUCACAACUUAUUUUUAGGAUAAUUUAUUAGGUAUCUUUUCACUUCUCCAUUUCUAACUCAAAAUUCCCUUUAGGUUUCAAAAGCAAUAACAAAAUCAAACAAAAAUUCUCCAAACUGAGGCUCCAGUCAACCAACAAAAAAACAAAUUUAACCUCCACAAAAGAACCCUGGCAAGCAUGAUCAAAUCCAAUAUUACCUUUUGACUUAGAUUAGGACUUAACAUAGGAGUAACUAAAAUUACUUGCACAACUGCCAGUGCUUGCUCCUACUUUAGCACCUUAUCUUUUACUAGAUCAGAAAUCUCUGAACCAAAGAGGAAAAAUGUGGUACAAUGGGAAAUCAGAAGAUUCAAGGUCUGGCCACUUAUUAAGCCUGCAGUAAUGCUCUGAUGUCAUCCAAGGCUCAACUUACUAUAACAUUGCCAAGUGGCUGUGAUGAGAACUUUUACAUCACUGGCAAUGAAUAAUGCCUGAUUGGUAGGUGAUGGUGGUUGUCAAAAUCUCUUGAAAGCACUUUGUCUUUAUGGAGUUUCCAUCCUACAUCAGAGAGACCCAUGGUAUGGGGUGUCUUGCCCUCCAUGGACCUCAGAACAAAGCUGGGGAUCAGGUCAGAAAGUUGGACCCAAUCUUCAGAAGACUGGGUUACCAAAACUGUCUCUGCCAAAGAAGGCAUGAGAAUACACUGAAAGUGACAACUGUGAGGGCACUUGGCUUCCAAAGGGAGGUUAUGAGAGAUGGUUAAAAUGACUUUGGAACUGGUAGCCCCUAUUAUAUUCCCACAGGGCUGACCAGGAUGGAGCUGGGUUGGGCAGAGGGU
rnacentral:lncRNA from 10 species